rnacentral:rRNA from 1 species
UGAUGAAGAAGCUUGCUUCUUCUGAUUUAGCGGCGGACGGGUGAGUAACACGUGGGUAACCUACCCUAUAGAUUGGGAUAACUCCGGGAAACCGGGGCUAAUACCGAAUAAUACAUUUUCCUUCAUGGGGAGAUGUUGAAAGAUGGUUUCGGCUAUCACUAUAGGAUGGGCCCGCGGCGCAUUAGCUAGUUGGUGAGGUAACGGCUCACCAAGGCAACGAUGCGUAGCCGACCUGAGAGGGUGAUCGGCCACACUGGGACUGAGACACGGCCCAGACUCCUACGGGAGGCAGCAGUAGGGAAUCUUCCACAAUGGGCGAAAGCCUGAUGGAGCAAUGCCGCGUGAGUGAAGAAGGAUUUCGGU